CGCGAACUCGGGGCGUGCACACCCUUCUGCUUCCUUGUGCUCCUCCCUCCAGCCUCGGUCCCUCGGGGCGUCUGUGCAGCCUACGCUUUCCGGUGUAUUAGCAGAGAGCUGGAUCAGAAGUGGAACAGUCUGGACUCAAAUCCACGUCCUUAUGAGAUGCUGUCGUCAAAGCUGAUGCUCAGCGCAGCUGGGACUGGGCCAUACUGAGGCCAGAAGCCAGGACUCAACCUGGCCUCCCACGUGGGUGGCCGAGACCCAAGUGCACGAGCCAUCACCGAUGCCUCCCAAGAGGGAGAGAGAGGUCUUCCAUCCACUGGUUCACUCCCCAAAUGGCCGCGACUGUUGGAGCUGGGCUGAUUCAAAGCCAGGAGCCAGGAGAUUCUUCUCAGUAUCCCAUGAGCGAUCCGUCCCAGAGGAAGAAUCUAACAGCGCAGCAGGGAGAGGUGAGAAUUAUUAAGGCACCGCCCUUCGGUGGGCAAAGGAGAGAGGGUCCCAGACGGCACCCCCGUAAUACUCAGAGCGAAGCUGGUAAGCGGGGCCGGGGCCUGACCUGGACUCAUUUUACAUCCGAGCGUCUGCCACUGUGAGGACAGCCGUGGUGGCCCUGCACUCUGGCCCCCGCCUUCCACCUGCCGCCUCUGCCUUCCCCAGCCUUCCCCUGCCCCGGUUCUGAACUGCUUCUGGCAGGCCAGGGCUCCGACAUCCACAGUCAGGGCCAUUAAAUUGCAAGGGGAAAAAAGCAGUCUCAGGGAAGUAAAAGAGCGUGGGGGUGCUGAACCCCACACUGGGGAGCGCCCAUAACUUGGCCGCUUCAGGAGUCUGGUCCACCUCCUCAGGCCGUCGCACCUGUCCUCCCUCUCCAGAGCUGGCCGCCUCCUGCGGCCUGCGUGUCACACCUUGGUCUUACCUCAGCUGCAGGUCUGAUGGCCUCGAGGUCCCCUGUGCUGAAUUCAUGAGAAAAGGAAUCGCAUUGGCCCAGAUCACAGCGCCACCUUCUGAGGCCUGGCCGCCCAGUGGUGUGGCUGCCUAGCUGUCCUUGUACUGCCUUGGCCUGGUCAGCUGUAGCUGGGAGGGGGUCACCUUCGGGACACAGCUGCGGGCCGGGCCUGAGCCGCGGGCCCUCAGGAGGGGCGCGGGGUGGAGGCAUGCUGGCUGGCACGGUCAUCUGUCCAGCUGUUGGAAUCGUGUGCGGGACCGGAGACGAGGGCGUCUCUGAGUGUGUGAGCUUUCUCUUACAGACUUUUGAACACUCAGUUUAACUUUCUGCUUGUCUGUUUUUAUUGGUUGUGUUCUAUUUAUUACAACAUAAACCCUCUGCAAAUUCUUGUGGAAUGAAUGACUUCUGAAAUGAUGAAUAAGAGCUGUUCUCUCCCCCUUGAGUCCAUAUCAAUUUUAUUUUAUUUCUGCAUUUUUGGUUCAAAAAGAAAAUGGCUUUUCUUCAAAACACUCUAUGUAUUUUUUUUUUAAGUCAGACCUUUGGCAAAACGCUGCCAGGCAUGUUGGAAUCCAGAUUUGUCCACCCGUCCCACUUAAGGGUAGAGUUCUUCUGGGAUCUAAAGUUAGCUUAGAUUUGAAAACAUUUUAUUUAAUAUAAAUGUAUUGAGGAUAUUUAUAUAUUUAAGAAUUAUUAUCAUUCCCCAAAG